GACAGAGGGUGCAAACGUUGUUCGGAAUUACUGGGCGUAAAGCGCGUGUAGGCGGCUUUGUAAGUCGGAUGUGAAGGCCCUGGGCUCAACCGAGGAAGUGCACUCGAUACUGCGGGGCUAGAGUAUCGGAGAGGUUGGUGGAAUUCUCGGUGUAGAGGUGAAAUUCGUAGAUAUCGAGAGGAACACCGGUGGCGAAGGCGGCCAACUGGACGAAGACUGACGCUGAGACGCGAAAGCGUGGGGAGCAAACAGG
rnacentral:rRNA from 1 species